AGCUAUCGACGUUAAGUCGUACGCCUGGGAAGUACGGCGGCAAGCUGAAAACUCAAAUGAAUUGACGGGCGACCCGCACAAGCGGUGGAGCAUGUGGUGUAAUUCGAUGCAACGCGAAGACCCUCACCUGGUCUUGACAUCCACGGAAGUAUUUAGAGAUGAGAAUGUGCCUUCGGGAACCGUGAGACAGGUGCUGCAUGGCUGUCGUCAUCUCGUGUUGUGAAAUGUUGGGUUAAGUCCCGCAACGAGCGCAACCCUUAUCCUUUGUUGCCAGCGGUCCGGCCGGGAACUCAAAGGAGACUGCCAGUGAUAAACUGGAGGAAGGUGGGGAUGACGUCAAGUCAUCAUGGCCCUUACGACCAGGCCUACACACGUGCUACAAUGGCGCAUACAAAGAGAAGCGACCUCGCGAGAGCAAGCGGACCUCAUAAAGUGCGUCGUAGUCCGGAUUGGAGUCUGCAACUCGACUCCAUGAAGUCGGAAUCGCUAGUAAUCGUGGAUCAGAAUGCCACGGUGAAUACGUUCCCGGGCCUUGUACACACCGCCCGUCACACCAUGGGAGUGGGUGCAAAAGAAGCUGAAGAGU
rnacentral:rRNA from 1 species